rnacentral:rRNA from 1 species
UACAGAGGUGGCAAGCGUUGUUCGGAAUUACUGGGCGUAAAGGGCGCGUAGGCGGCCUACUAAGUCAGACGUGAAAUCCCCCGGCUUAACCUGGGAACUGCGUCUGAUACUGGAAGGCUUGAGGAUGGGAGAGGGAUGUAGAAUUCCAGGUGUAGCGGUGAAAUGCGUAGAUAUCUGGAGGAAUACCGGUGGCGAAGGCGGCAUCCUGGACCGACAUUGACGCUGAUGAGCGAAAGCUAGGGGAGCAAACGGG